rnacentral:rRNA from 1 species
AGACAGCAGUCGCCGCGGGAACACCUAGGGUGCGAGCGUUAAUCGGAAUUACUGGGCGCAAAGCGUGCGCAGGCGGUUAUAUAAGACAGAUGUGAAAUCCCCGGGCUCAACCUGGGACCUGCAUUUGUGACUGUAUAGCUAGAGUACGGUAGAGGGGGAUGGAAUUCCGCGUGUAGCAGUGAAAUGCGUAGAUAUGCGGAGGAACACCGAUGGCGAAGGCAAUCCCCUGGACCUGUACUGACGCUCAUGCACGAAAGCGUGGGGAGCAAACAGGAUUAGAUACCCCAGUAGUCCCUGUCUCUUAUAC